rnacentral:rRNA from 1 species
AACGUAGGAGACGAACGUUAUUCGGAGUUACUGGGCGUAAAGGGCGUGUAGGCGGUUUGUUAAGUCUGGCGUGAAAGCUCUCGGCUAAACCGGGAGAGGUCGUUGGAUACUGGCAAACUAGAGGAUGGUAGAGGCGUGUGGAAUUCCGGGUGUAGUGGUGAAAUGCGUAGAGAUCCGGAGGAACACCAGUGGCGAAGGCGACACGCUGGGCCAUACCUGACGCUAAAGCGCGACAGCAUGGGGAGCAAACGGG